rnacentral:ncRNA from 2 species
AAAUGACUGUCGGGGUGCCAACAUGACGUUGUCGGCUGAGAAUAUACCCGUACGACCUGAUCAGGUUCGAACCUGCGUAGGCAACAAUUAUGACUGCUCC